UCUCUGGUAGCUCAGUGGUAAAGCGUCUGCCUACAAUGCGGGAGACCCCGGUUCGAUCCUGGGUCGGGAAG
rnacentral:tRNA from 1 species